CCUGCGGGGUAGUGUAGGCCUAUAGCUGAGGCAGGAGCCUCACUUGAGCCCAAGAGUUCUAGCCUGUAGUACACUGUGCCGACAGAGAUCUACACUAAGCUCAACGUCAAUAUGGUGACCUCCUGAGGGGAGGAAGGGCACCAGGUUACCUAAGGCAGUGUGAACCAGCCCGGGUCAGAAACAAAAGGUCAAAACACCCAUACUGAUCAGUAGUAGGACUGCACCUGCGAAUAGCCACUGCACUCCAUCUUGGCAACAUGGUGAGACA
rnacentral:SRP_RNA from 1 species